rfam:Gossypium hirsutum cultivar TM-1 chromosome 5, whole genome shotgun sequence
AGACCAUGGUGAUGGCAUCUUUGUAUGAGCAACUUAAAAUGUUCCUAAGCUUCGUGAAAACUUUCUCCUUCCAACUAUUUAAAUGUUGCAAUCUCUCUCCUUAGUUG